UACGGAGGGUGCAAGCGUUAUCCGGAUUCACUGGGUUUAAAGGGUGCGUAGGUGGGCAGGUAAGUCAGUGGUGAAAUCUCCGAGCUUAACUCGGAAACUACCGUUGAUACUAUUUGUCUUGAAUAUUGUGGAGGUAAGCGGAAUAUGUCAUGUAGCGGUGAAAUGCUUAGAUAUGACAUAGAACACCAAUUGCGAAGGCAGCUUACUACACAACGAUUGACGCUGAGGCACGAAAGCGUGGGGAUCAAACAGG
rnacentral:rRNA from 1 species